CAGUCGAACGAGCGAGAGGAGGUUUACUUUCUCAAGCGAGUGGCGAACGGGUGCGUUACGCGUGAGGAACCUGCCUCAAAGAGGGGGACAACAGUUGGAAACGACUGCUAAUACCGCAUAAGCCCACGACCCGGCAUCGGGUAGAGGGAAAAGGAGCAAUCCGCUUUGAGAUGGCCUCGCGUCCGAUUAGCUAGUUGGUGAGGUAAUGGCCCACCAAGGCGACGAUCGGUAGCCGGACUGAGAGGUUGAACGGCCACAUUGGGACUGAGACACGGCCCAGACUCCUACGGGAGGCAGCAGUGGGGAAUAUUGCACAAUGGGGGAAACCCUGAUGCAGCGACGCCGCGUGGAGGAAGAAGGUCUUCGGAUUGUAAACUCCUGUUGUUGAGGAAGAUAAUGACGGUACUCAACAAGGAAGUGACGGCUAACUACGUGCCAGCAGCCGCGGUAAAACGUAGGUCACAAGCGUUGUCCGGAAUUACUGGGUGUAAAGGGAGCGCAGGCGGGAAGACAAGUUGGAAGUGAAAUCCAUGGGCUCAACCCAUGAACUGCUUUCAAAACUGUUUUUCUUGAGUAGUGCAGAGGUAGGCGGAAUUCCCGGUGUAGCGGUGGAAUGCGUAGAUAUCGGGAGGAACACCAGUGGCGAAGGCGGCCUACUGGGCACCAACUGACGCUGAGGCUCGAAAGUGUGGGUAGCAAACAGGAUUAGAUACCCUGGUAGUCCACACUGUAAACGAUGAUUACUAGGUGUUGGAGGAUUGACCCC
rnacentral:rRNA from 1 species